CCCACGGCUGGCGGGGAAACCGUUACCAUUACUGAGUUUAGUAAUGGUAACGGUUCUGCUGACGGCCGGGCA
rnacentral:pre_miRNA from 1 species